GUGUAACGGAUCGCCUGGCACCCCGACUGGGUACCUCCGUUGAAGGAUGCUCCUAGCACUUCCUGAGGACUCCAAGCACUGCAGCAGACACCACAAUCACCGAACCAGAGAAGCGUAUACCUUCUCUCAAGCAUAUGAAUGCUGUAGACAGUUGAAUAGGAACCAUACGAAUAGGUUUACUCUCCUAGCAGUCAAACUGGAACAGCAUACAAUGAAUCCUUCC